AGAAUUGUACCACCACUGCGUAUCCUAAACGGGCUCUGCAGUGGUUAUUCUUGUAAAGUACUAGGAGUGAAUAGUGGCCCGUAUUGCAGGCAUUAACAUUCCUGAU
rfam:Photobacterium profundum SS9; segment 1/12